GCCAGUGAUAAACUGGAGGAAGGUGGGGAUGACGUCAAGUCAUCAUGGCCCUUACGACCAGGGCUACACACGUGCUACAAUGGCGCAUACAAAGAGAAGCGACCUCGCGAGAGCAAGCGGACCUCAUAAAGUGCGUCGUAGUCCGGAUUGGAGUCUGCAACUCGACUCCAUGAAGUCGGAAUCGCUAGUAAUCGUGGAUCAGAAUGCCACGGUGAAUACGUUCCCGGGCCUUGUACACACCGCCCGUCACACCAUGGGAGUGGGUUGCAAAAGAAGUAGGUAGCUUAACCUUCGGGAGGGCGCUUACCACUUUGUGAUUCAUGACUGGGGUGAAGUCGUAACAAGGUAACCGUAGGGGAACCUGCGGUUGGAUCAC
rnacentral:rRNA from 2 species